GACGAACGCUGGCGGCGUGCUUAACACAUGCAAGUCGAACGGAAAGGCCCUGCUUUUGCGGGGUGCUCGAGUGGCGAACGGGUGAGUAACACGUGAGUAACCUGCCCUUGACUUUGGGAUAACUUCAGGAAACUGGGGCUAAUACCGGAUAGGAGCUCCUGCUGCAUGGUGGGGGUUGGAAAGUUUCGGCGGAUGGGGAUGGACUCGCGGGUUAUCAGCUUGUUGGUGGGGUAGUGGCUUACCAAGGCUUUGACGGGUAGCCGGCCUGGGAGGGGGACCGGCCACAUUGGUACUGAGGUACGGCCCAGACUCCUACGGGAGGCAGCAGGGGGGAAUAUUGCACAAUGGGCGGGAGCCUGAUGCAGCAACGCCGCGUGCGGGAUGACGGCCUUCGGGUUGUAAACCGCUUUCGCCUGUGACGAAGCGUGAGUGACGGUAAUGGGUAAAGAAGCACCGGCUAACUACGUG
rnacentral:rRNA from 1 species